AGUGAACGCUGGCGGUAGGCCUAACACAUGCAAGUCGAACGGCAGCACAGUAAGAGCUUGCUCUUACGGUUGGCGAGUGGCGGACGGGUGAGGAAUACAUCGGAAUCUACUUUUUCGUGGGGGAUAACGUAGGGAAACUUACGCUAAUACCGCAUACGACCUACGGGUGAAAGCAGGGGAUCUUCGGACCUUGCGCGAUUGAAUGAGCCGAUGUUGGAUUAGCUAGUUGGCGGGGUAAAGGCCCACCAAGGCGACGAUCCGUAGCUGGUCUGAGAGGAUGAUCAGCCACACUGGAACUGAGACACGGUCCAGACUCCUACGGGAGGCAGCAGUGGGGAAUAUUGGACAAUGGGCGAAAGCCUGAUGCAGCAAUACCGCGUGGGUGAAGAAGGCCUUCGGGUUGUAAAGCCCUUUUGUUGGGAAAGAAAAGCAGCAGGUUAAUACCCCGCUGUUCUGACGGUACCCAAAGAAUAAGCACCGGCUAACUUCGUG
rnacentral:rRNA from 1 species